GCGGACGCGAAUGAGCCGCUCUCAAGCCUGUGCGAGCAAGCAAGUGCGAGUCUCGAUUUAGGAUCGGUGAUUGACAGCCUCCGUCUCGCCACUAUUCUCCAUUUCAUCGAGCACGGCUACAAGGGAAUCGGAAGGAAAGGCCAGUGAGCAGGCAUUAACGGAGCCAAUGGACCAUAAAAAUGCCCCUGGUCCAUGCGGUGUAGCAAGGGCUGCCCAGCACACCAGAGAAUAGCACCUUAGACCAUGCC